rnacentral:rRNA from 1 species
UAUGACAUGCCUACAACGUUAAUGCACUGGAUCCCAUCAGAACUUCGUAGUUAAGUGCAUUUGGGAUAGAGUAGUAUUGGAAUGGGUGACCUCCCGAGAAGUCCUAGUGUUUUACAUGC